UACAGAGGGUGCGAGCGUUAAUCGGAAUUACUGGGCGUAAAGCGCGCGUAGGCGGCUUUUCAAGUCGAUUGUGAAAUCCCCGGGCUUAACCUGGGAACUGCAGUCGGGACUGUCUAGCUAGAGUAUGGGAGAGGGAAGUGGAAUUUCAGGUGUAGCGGUGAAAUGACGUAGAGAUGUGGAGGAACACCGAUGGCGAAGGCAGCCCCUGGGUUAACACCUGACGCUCAGGCACGAA
rnacentral:rRNA from 1 species